rnacentral:rRNA from 1 species
AGUGAACGCUGGCGGCGUGCCUAAUACAUGCAAGUCGAACGAUGAAGCCUAGCUUGCUAGGUGGAUUAGUGGCGCACGGGUGAGUAAUGCAUAGAUAACAUGCCCUUUAGUUUGGAAUAGCCACUAGAAAUGGUGAUUAAUACCAAAUACUACCUUACGAGGGAAAGAUUUAUCGCUAAAGGAUUGGUCUAUGUCCUAUCAGCUUGUUGGUGAGAUAAAGGCUCACCAAGGCUAUGACGGGUAUCCGGCCUGAGAGGGUGAACGGACACACUGGAACUGAGACACGGUCCAGACUCCUACGGGAGGCAGCAGUAGGGAAUAUUGCUCAAUGGGGGAAACCCUGAAGCAGCAACGCCGCGUGGAGGAUGAAGGUUUUAGGAUUGUAAACUCCUUUUGUUAGAGAAGAUAAUGACGGUAUCUAACGAAUAAGCACCGGCUAACUCCGUGCCAGCAGCCGCGGUAAUACGGAGGGUGCAAGCGUUACUCGGAAUCACUGGGCGUAAAGAGUGCGUAGGCGGGAGGACAAGUCAGGUGUGAAAUCCUAUGGCUUAACCAUAGAACUGCAUUUGAAACUAUCCUUCUGGAGUGUGGGAGAGGUAGGUGGAAUUCUUGGUGUAGGGGUAAAAUCCGUAGAGAUCAAGAGGAAUACUCAUUGCGAAGGCGACCUGCUGGAACAUCACUGACGCUGAUUGCACGAAAGCGUGGGGAGCAAACAGGAUUAGAUACCCUGGUAGUCCACGCCCUAAACGAUGGAUGCUAGUUGUUGGGAGGCUUUGUCUUUCCAGUAAUGCAGCUAACGCCUUAAGCAUCCCGCCUGGGGAGUACGGUCGCAAGAUUAAAACUCAAAGGAAUAGACGGGGACCCGCACAAGCGGUGGAGCAUGUGGUUUAAUUCGAAGAUACACGAAGAACCUUACCUAGGCUUGACAUUGAAGGAAUUCCCUAGAAAUAGGGGAGUGUCUAGCUUGCUAGACCCUGAAAACAGGUGCUGCACGGCUGUCGUCAGCUCGUGUCGUGAGAUGUUGGGUUAAGUCCCGCAACGAGCGCAACCCUUUUUCUUAGUUGCUAACAGGUUAUGCUGCGCACUCUAAGAAGACUGCCUGCGUAAGCAGGAGGAAGGUGAGGACGACGUCAAGUCAUCAUGGCCCUUACGCCUAGGGCUACACACGUGCUACAAUGGGGUGUACAAAGAGAUGCAAAGCCGCGAGGCAGAGCUAAUCUAUAAAACACCUCCUAGUUCGGAUUGCAGGCUGCAACUCGCCUGCAUGAAGCUGGAAUCGCUAGUAAUCGCAAAUCAGCUAUGUUGCGGUGAAUACGUUCCCGGGUCUUGUACUCACCGCCCGUCACACCAUGGGAGUUGUGUUUGCCUUAAGUCAGGAUGCUAAAGCAGCUACUGCCCACGGCACACACAGCGACUGGG